CCUACGGGAGGCAGCAGUGGGGAAUUUUGGACAAUGGGCGCAAGCCUGAUCCAGCAAUGCCGCGUGCAGGAUGAAGGCCUUCGGGUUGUAAACUGCUUUUGUACGGAACGAAACGGUGAGCUCUAAUACAGUUUGCUAAUGACGGUACCGUAAGAAUAAGCACCGGCUAACUACGUGCCAGCAGCCGCGGUAAUACGUAGGGUGCGAGCGUUAAUCGGAAUUACUGGGCGUAAAGCGUGCGCAGGCGGUGAUGUAAGACAGAUGUGAAAUGCCCGGGCUCAACCUGGGACCUGCAUUGUGACUGCAUCGCUAGAGUACGGUAGAGGGGGAUGGAAUUCCGCGUGUAGCAGUGAAAUGCGUAGAUAUGCGGAGGAACACCGAUGGCGAAGGCAAUCCCCUGGACCUGUACUGACGCUCAUGCACGAACGACGGUGGGGAGGACGAACGAGGAGUAGUAUACCGUACGGUAGUACCGACCGACCCGUAACCG
rnacentral:rRNA from 1 species